UAAGCGAGUGAUGAAAUUUUAGGGCUCAACCCUGAAACUGUUACUCGAACUGGCACGCUAGAGUAUAUGAGGGGUACCUGGAAUUCCUAGUGUAGGAGUGAAAUCCGUAGAUAUUAGGAGGAACACCAAUGGCGAAGGCAGGGUACUGGCAUAUUACUGACGCUAAGGCACGAAAGCGUGGGGAGCGAACCGGAUUAGAUACCCGGGUAGUCCACGCCGUAAACGAUGGAUGCUG
rnacentral:rRNA from 1 species